CUCACAGAAAUUUCCAAGGUCUUAUCUGCACAGUCAACAUUCCAGAGCUAACAAUGGAUCCACCUCCGACUCCAUCGCCUACUACACUGCUGCUAACUACGGCGCCUCCGGGACGAGGGUUUUGGGAAUCAUGUUGGUUGUUUCUAUGUUGCUGUGGUAUAUUCAGAAGCUGCUGCCCUCCACUGUUUGAACCAGGGCCACCUCCUACACUGUUUGUCAUUCUUUUGGAGUUGCAAAAUGUAAUAAUUUUCUAGCUUUCUCUAAAUUAUGCCUUGAGUGAUAUAAUUUUCUAAUUCUAUCUUCCAUUAUUCAAUCCAAA